UUAGUGAUUGUUGACUUAGGCCACAUACGUAUGAAUUUCAAUUAAACUAUUGUAGAAACGGUAUUUUACUGUGGGUACUGCUACUGCUGUAAUGCCUGCCUUGGACCAAGAAACGCUAAGUUUUCGAAUAUUGGCUGUAUUACCAAAGACCACGUGUUAAAAUAUUCCCUACAGUGCCUCUGGAAAAGUGUCUCUAGUUUCUUUAACUUGGAACCUUGUUCAAAACAAACACUAUUUAACAGUGUGUUUCUAAAGGAGCACAACUUGAUGUGAUACUUCUGUCAAGGUGCUACUGCUGCUGCUGCUACUGCUGUCAAGAUUGGGGCUUUACAAGAACUCAUCGGUGUCCUACAUCCAGCACAUCUUGAAAGUACCGGGAGAACCUGAUGAUGAUGAAGAAUCGUCCAGCCGGGCGCGUUAAUCAGAGACAUGGAAGGAGAGGCCGGCCGGCAGCAGCAGCAGCCCAAAAAGUCCAUCAUCUAAAGGACAAUAUAGACAGUCAAGACUCUCGUAUCUACUGUACUACACCGGUGGGGCAGCAGCAGCCAUUCUCUCUUUGAUGACGUUGCCGUAGCAACGGCGACUGUUUCUCAGAGCUCAGCAGAGACAGUUGCUGGCCGGGCCUUGUUCUUGCCGAUGUCGUACAUCCCUCGACCACUGCUACCACUCCACUACUACUACAACAACAACAACUACCUGCUACUGGUAUUUGUGUUCUUCUUUCCAUCGAGUCCUGGGCGGCAGCGGCGGCGGCGGCUUUUCGGUUAAAGAGGGGCCCCCCUGAACCCAACCAACCCGACAGUCUGUUUUUCCAGGGGGGAAAAAAGAACCUUUCCAUCCCUCGCCAACCGAAAAAGAAGGUAAAACUAAAAAUGGUGGGAAAAAGGAAAAGAUGCAGUAGCGCAGUCGUCGAAUUUAUCAAAAGAGGAAGAAAACGAGUCGGUCGCUACGAUGACAGCCGACUUGGUCGACUAGAGUAAAAAAUGAAUGACAUUAUGUGCAUGUGUCUCCUUUGGAGAAAAAGAAUAAGAGAAGAGAGAGAGACAACGGGAUAAAAACUGCCAGGUUAUUCAUCACGCUGGGCAGAGGACGUUGUGUCAUCUUUUUUUUAUUUUCUUUCUAUUUUUUGCUCUUUUUGAUUUGAUUUUCUAUUUCGC